rnacentral:rRNA from 1 species
UCCUACGGGAGGCAGCAGCUAAGAAUCUUCCGCAAUGGGGGGAACCCUGACGGAGCGACGCCGCGUGUGUGAAGAAGGCGGAAACGUUGUAAAGCACUUUUCUUGCUGAAGAAUAAUGAUGAGAGGGAAUGCUCAUCAGAUGACGUUAGGCAAGGAAUAAGCCCCGGCUAACUCCGUGCCAGCAGCCGCGGUAAUACGGGGGGGGCGAGCGUUGUUCGGAAUUACUGGGCGUAAAGGGCGCGUAGGCGGUUUCGGAAGUCAUGGGUGAAAGUCCUCGGCUCAACCGAGGGAUUGCCUGUGAAACCACGGGACUGGAGUGCUGGAGAGGGAAAUGGAAUUCCCAGUGUAGCGGUGAAAUGCGUAGAUAUUGGGAGGAACACCUGUGGCGAAGGCGAGUUUCUAGCCAUAAACUGACGCUGAGGAGCGAAAACGUGAGGAGCGAACGGGAUUAGAUACCCCGGUAGUCCUGGCCGUAAACGAUGAACACUUGGUGUGGGGGGUGAUGAAAGUCCCUCUGUGCCGGAGAGAACUCGUUAAGUGUUCCGCCUGGGGAGUACGGCCGCAAGGCUGAAACUCAAAGGAAUUGACGGGGGCCCGCACAAGCGGUGGAGCAUGUGGUUUAAUUCGACGCAACGCGAAGAACCUUACCGGGGUUUGAACUGCACCUGAACGAUCUAGAGAUGGAGAGGUUCCUUUCGGGGACAGGUGUAGAGGUGCUGCAUGGCUGUCGUCAGCUUGUGUCGUGAGAUGUUGGGUUAAGUCCCGCACGAGCGCACCCUUGUCUGUAGUUGCCAUCAGGUGAGCUGGGCACUCUACGAGACUGUCGGCGAGAGCCGGAGAAGGUGGGGAAUGAACGUCAAGGUCCUCACAUGUCUCCU